CUCUUUUUAUAAGAACACAGUCUCGUGGGACGAGGGGCCCACCCUGACGACCUCAUCCUCACUCAUUACAUCUGCAAGGACCCUUUCUCCAAAUCAGAUUAAAAAACAACACCCCAACCCCAGCCCCAGUGCCCUUCAAACCUCAACCUGCAGCCGGAAGGGGGAAGUGAAACCCAGCUGGGGGAGGGGGACGCUGGGACCAGCCGCCUGAGGGAGCAGCCGGAGUCACAGGCACACGCACAGCCCCAAGCGGCCCGGACCCCGGCCCGAUGGCAGAGGCUCCGAGCCACCCUGGCUCCGAGGAGCAGGAGGCGCUCCUGGCAGACAAAGACGCCGGGUAAGAGUCCGUUCUGAGCGCGCGGGAGAGUUCGCAUUUACAGUGGGUGGCGCUUAAUCUGGGGGUGGAUGGGGCCGCCGGGACUUGGGGCAGCAGGCGGCUGCAGGGUACUUCCCGGGGUCCCCGUCUCACCCCGCGGUGGGUGCGUGUCUCUCCAGUCGGCCUCUGUAGCCGGGCUUCAGCGGGAGAGGCCGGCUUCGCGCCCCAGCCACUGGGAUGCUGACCCAGGACACGGAGGCCCGGACCCCCGAGGCAGGGACUCAGGGCCUUACCCCGGCAGGAGGUGGGGGUGGGAGGGCCCGGCCGGGAGGGGCUGCUUGGCCCCAGGACCCUCGAAGCCCUUGCUGGAGGCCAGGCCGGGUGCCCCGCCCGCCCCCGCCCAGGUGACGGAGGUGACGAUGCUGGCCGCUGCCUGCUCCCAGUGCUGCAGCCGCUGUUGCUUAGAGAUGGCGCGGGAGGCGGACACGGGCAGAAGGGGAGUGCCACACACCCGGACCUGGGCAGGGAGCCCCGCGGAGCCGCUGGGUGCCAGCCUGUGCAGGGACAGGACACCCAGAGCCACCAGCAUGGAGAGGAGGGCGCUGCUGGUCAGCUCCGUCUGCUCCCCCACCCCCGCCCCCAGCAGCACCUGCUGGGCAGGGCGGAGCCGCAGGCCAGGUCCCCACAGCCUCAGGGCUGACUUGUUCAGUGGGUUCUAACCACUGAGGUCGGUGUCGCCUCCCUGAUCCUGUGGCGACGUCUUUAUUCGUAACGAGGGAACCGAUCUGGAAGUCUCUGCCAUGAGUGUGCAUGUGUGCGUGAGGCAGGUGGAAGGGUGCCUUCCCCUCGCCCAGGCCCACAGGGCGCCCUGCUUCGGGGGUUCAGGGGCCCGAGCGCUGGGGGGAGGGGGCGACCGGCAGACAGCUGUGCCCCACUCAGGAAUGUCUCCUCCCAUCAGCCUGUCUCGUGUUCCUCCGGCCACCGUGUGCCCAUAGAAGGGCACGGCUUGAGCAGCCUGGCCGGGGCAUCCCCGCCUCCCUCCUUGACCCCCCCACCCCAGCUGUCCCUCGGGAGGAGGACACAGAGGACGGCGUGGACCGCGGCCGAGGCCCAGGCAGGCGGGGAGGCACCUGUGCCUGCUCGGUCAGGAGCUCAGCCUGAGAGCUGGCUGAAUGCCCCUGGCCCCUUAGGGCCUGGGACCCCCGCCCAAGCACCCCCCCCCCCCCCCCCCAAUGUGGUGUCAGAACGAAACUGAGACCCAGGGUGUGGCACGGUUCUCAUUUCACAAGGUGACUAAGGGAACUGGGAUUUUCCUGUCCAGAGUGGGUGAGAAGUCCCGUUGCCCAGGAUGGGGAUGUGUGGCCUGGGAAGCCCCCAUGGGAGACCCCAGGAGGGCCAAGGCUGGGCAGGUUGGGGCUGGAGCAUUCCAGAUAAGACCUGCCCCCAGACCCCCUCUAUUGCCUGCAUCCAAGACAUCGCCCCUCCUAUCCAGCCAGGUCAGGCCUCCCCCCUGCAACUGGGCAAUGGGCUGUCCCCUCAGACUGUCCCCUCAGACUCUUCCAAGAUGGGGCCACCCCCCUCAGACUAACCCUUGCCAGACUGCCCUAAGAUGGGGCCACCUCCCUCAGACUGCCCCAGGAUGGGGUCACCCCCCUCAGACUGCCCUGAGAUGGGGCCACCCUGCUCAGACUGCCCCAGGAUGGGGCCACUUCCUCAGACUACCCCAGGAGGGGGCUUUCCCUCUCAGACUGCCCCAGGAUUGGGUCACCCCCCUCAGACUGCCCUGGGAUGGGGCCACCCUGCUCAGACUGCCCCAGGAUGGGGCCACUUCCUCAGACUACCCCAGGAGGGGGCUUUCCCUCUCAGACUGCCCCAGGAUGGGCCAUCCUCCUCAGACUGCCCCAGGAUUGGGCCACCUCCCUCAGACUGCCCCCAGGAUGAGGCUUCCCCUCUCAGACUGCCUCAGGAUGGGGCCAACGCCCCUCAGACUGCUAUGGGAUGGGACCACCUCCCUCAGACAGCCCCAGGAUGGGGCCUCUCCUCUCAGAACCUCACAUUAGGGCCUAGGACUGGGGCGUACCCCAACAACGUGCCCUGGGCAGGGUGUUUGCCCCUCCUCUGUCCCACUUGUGGGCCAGGUCAAGAUACCCUCUCCUUGCUCUGGCUGCCCAGCUGUGGGGUCCCACAGGGCUGGCCAGGACCACGGGUCUCUGUGGGGCCCCCUGGUGGAGCUGAGGUGUGGCCCUGCACCCCUCCCUGUGGGGAACCAUGGACCUGAGACCCUGAGGAGAGCGGGGACAGGGCCUCCACACAGUGCAUGGAAGGGAGUCUCAAGAUGUCCCAGGGUCCUGGGCUUGGCAGGUCUGGAUCCCUGAAUCCCAACCCCUUGGAGGCCCCAUGUGCACCCCCAGCGUGCACCCCGAACUUCAGCAGGGCCAGACCAGGCUGUGCUGGGCCCUCCCCAUGUCCACGUGACAGGAGAGCUGCCCCACACUGCAGACGGGCCUCGCCCCUGCCCCGGCCCGGCCUGCUCCCCAGCUUGGCAAGGAUGCCCUCUCCCGGGGGUCUCUGUACCCCUGUCCCCAGCAUGCUCUUU